rnacentral:lncRNA from 1 species
UUUAAUGGUUUUAAGUAUGAAAUUAAAUGAGUGUUUGCAUGAAAAGUCCUUGGAGGAAAACCCAGGUUCGGCCGCCGAAAGUCAAGUUCGGCCGCCGAACAUACAUGCGUUUUGGAGGCACGUUAGGCCCCCGAAAGCAUGAGUGAGGGAAGUCCAGGUUCGGCCGCCGAAACUCAAGUUCGGCCGCCGAACAUGGCAUGCAUGCGGAAGCACUUUCGACCCCCGAACGUGGCCUGGCCAGCCACCUAUAAAAGGGUCACUUGGCCGAAAUGGGCGAGCUUUCUCCCAUUUUCGGCCACAGCUAGCUUCCGACCUCCCUCUUCCAAAUCUAGUGUUCUUCCUUCAAAUCCCCAC